rnacentral:lncRNA from 1 species
CGCAGCAAGUCAUUGCGCUGCACCAGAUAUUCCUCUUCUUGUAUUCCAUUUUUGCCGCAUCGGCUAUAGUACGUGUGUGUUGUGUUUCUCUGAGUUCCUGAGUUUUUAUCGCUGGGAACUUACUGACAAUUGGUAUCAGAGCAGGGUUCGAGACUUGGACAACAUCAGGUAUUUCGUCGAAACCACCACACUCCUUCACCACGCGGUGGAUCACCAGCUCGAGGUCAAGGUGCGGCCGCCGGAGCCAUCAGGAGUGCGCUCGAUCGGAGAGAACAAAUGAUGACGCGAGAUCAGUACUCCUAACACCCUAUCUCUAGUCCAAGCCAUAAAUCUCGCUCUGAUACCAAUUGUUGAGAAGUUCCUAACGAUCCGACCGAACUGAGAUCCACGUCCACGCGUUCAUAGGGAGUACGGGUGGUGUCCCUGCAGCCUCACGGGCGCUCCAGUGCUUGAACAAAAACUUGCUACUUAAAGGUAAAUAAAAUCUGCUAAUUUCCUGAUCACCUUGCUAAACAUAAUCUUGAUAGAUUGGACCAAACCGAGAUAUAACAUUAAUAAGGAUAAAUCGAUUAGUAGUAGAUUAAUGUAGAUAUAUCAAUAUUUAGAAAUAAUAAUAGGAUAAUUCUUUGGAUAAAACUCCGAUGAAACAUGAAACCAAACUUAAUAUAAUUUACUUAACCAAACACAAUAUGAUAGAAUAGAUAUAGCAGAAACAGUAAGAGAUUGAUAAUAACACAUGUAAUUUAUUUAGUUGAUAAGUCUUGGGUAAAGUGAUAGUGCCCACCAAUAACAUUUCUCUCUUAAAAAACAAAGCAAGAACGUUCUAGAUGCUUUUAUUACUUUGCAUCUCAUAAUAUCCUUGUUGCCACAAAUUUUAUGGAGUUUAUUUUGAUUUUCUUAGUUCUUGAUCUUCUGUAGCCGCAUCAGAUGGUGCGGCGCGCCAUUAGCGUGCCACCUAUAUAUAUUUUUUCUCAUUCGCUCUUUCCAUAUUGAGUCCUGCUACACGUACGACGGUGGAUGUACAACCGUCGUACGACCUGACGAUGUCCUGUCCGCGCCCGCUCGCUCCGUCCGUGCGUCGUUCGUCCUCCGUCCGCAUGCACGCAGAGUACGCCGUUCGUCCUCGUACGUGCGUUGUACAUCCACCGUCAUAUGCGAGGCAAUUCCGUUCCAUAUUAAUCAAUUCUCUGCUUUCCAUAUGUUGUCUUCUGAAAUAAAUAUAUCUAGGAAACAGCACAUAAGUACAAUGUUUCACGUGAUAUUGCUUAUUUAUAAAUUGAACUGUCCUAGCAUAGUCUUGCUCUAAGAAGCUUGCAGUAGUAAGCACGUCAAAACAAAAGAGAUCAGGAGACUACCGAAUAUUCCAAAUUGUUUCUUUCAAAAAAAGAACAACCACCUUCGUUUUAUAAUGUAAAAUGUUUGACUUUUUUGGUUGCAACGUUUGACCAUUCGUCUUAUUCAAAAAUUUAGUACAAAUAUAAAAAUGGCAAGUCGUGCUUAAAAUUCUUUUGAUAAUAAAGUAAGUCACAAGCAAAAAAAAAUAAUAAUUUCUAUAUUUUUUAAUAAGACAAAUGGUCAAACAUUGCAUGCAAAAAAAAUCAAACAUCUUACUUAUGAAACGCAGGGAGUAUUUUAUUAGGAUUUGAUUUAUUACUAAAGUAACUUCAUUAGAAUUUUAUAUAUUUGCACAAAAGUUUUAAAUAAGACUGAAGGGUCAAACGUAUGUCUAAAAGUCAACUACGUCAAUAAAAAAUGGAGAGAGUAUAUUAAUUCAUGUGUUUAUUGAGAGGAUAAAAGAGAGAAAUUUAUACCUAUGUUCCUCCCUUUUGCAUGGUCAUAUAAGAAAGCAGUGAACAUGACCACAAGAAUUCAAAAAUUUUGAAGAAACAUCUAAAUAAAAUCAUGGAGAUAUAUCGUGAUAAUUGUGACAUAUUGUCCAGUUUUCGCACAAAAUCACAAUUAUCGAUAUCGUAAAAACCAUUGUGAAUUAUCAUCUCAGAAGUCGUGAUUAUAAUUUCUACCAAUGCCACAGAACUGCACGAUUAUCGCACACUAUCCUGUGGCAUUCCCUUCAAAACAAUAGCAAUUUUGUUUAAAAAAUUCAAAUUCAUACUAUUUUUGUUUGAUUAUCGCACUACGGUGGUACAACAGUUUCAGCCCCCUUAAUGAGAAACUGAACCUUGGUCACAAUUAAUCAGCUUGAUGGUUUCUUGACACCAAUUAGGUGCAAUCAACCCGAUCAAUCCAUUAUAUGUGAUUGUCUGAAUUCUGAUAAUUUGUCCGACUAUUAACUCUUUAACCCAGACUUGAGUUUUGGGCUUUUGGAAGUUGCUUAGUUGGGCCGGCCCAUUCCAAAUAGAUGAAUGUGAUUUCUAAAUAAAGAAACUUUUGUAUAGAUUUGUUUUUGCAAAAAAACAAUGUUUAGCAUUUAGCAAGCAUAUACUCACAGAAAACGAGAGUUCUCCUUUCUCCCCCUUUUGAACACACCAUUAAUUAGCACUCUUGAUUUUGUGUUUGAGAUUAACUUCUUAUUAUUUUUGUUCGCUUUCUCCACUGUGUUAGAACAAAUUGUGGAGAAUAAUUUUCUGAAUUCGUAUACACAUAUUUUCGAAGGAAAAAAGAAUAAAUAAUUUUUUCCUUGAGAAAAUACAAGCAAGUAUCAAAUUUUAUAUUAAAAACUAUGGUACCUUGAGAUAUAUAAAUACCUAUAGAUAAUAAAUUUUGCACUAAAAAAAUCGUAGGUCCUGGUGCCAUCUAAAUUAAUAAAAAAUACCGAAAAGAUUCAACCCCAUCUUUUUUAGUUAACUUAAAUACCAGCGAAACGGCUUAUUAACGAUUACAAAAUAAUUUAUAGUAAACUUUUAUAUACAUAUUCGUAGCAAUCUAAAAGUAAAUACUAAAAAGUAAACCAAUAAAAACUCUAAAAUCAAGUUUAAGAAAUAAGUUUUAGAAUUCAACUUUUGGUUUAUAAACAAAGCAUAAAGAAAAGCUGCGUGGGCAAUAUGACUCGGUAAAGAAAAAAAAAUGCGUUCCAGUACCGAAAGGUCGUAGCGCGAACUGGGCCCGUGAAGGUCCCGUCCGGCCCACGCCAGCAGAUGGGCCGGCCCGGCCUGCACAAAAUCCCAACCACCAAGCCUCGCGCAACCACAACCCACGCCAGGUCUCAUCAGCCUCCGCCGCCGACGGCGAGGGAGCGGCCGAAGGGAGAGGAAUUUUUUGAAUUUAUUUAUUAAAUAAUUUAUAAAAUUGAUUUCACAUUUUGAAAAAUCACAAAUCUAAUCUCUUACCACCGCCUACGUGGCGGACGAUGACAGUGGCUCGGUAAUUUUGCUUUUAGCACUUUUUCACCCUGUGUAAGGGUGUAAAGUGGUUUUUACAAAAUGGCCACCUCCCCCACCUCUUUGUUUGGCUGUGUUUUUUUAUUUUCCCUGUAAGGGGCUAAAUGCAAAAAAGCUCAGGCCGUCGUUUCUGGACAUCCUUCAUGGCCAGGCGGCUGUUUUGCCACAUCACGUUUCUGCCUCUGACGACAGGAGGUUAGUUUUAUGAUUUUUUAAAAUACAAAAUUAAAUUUAAAAAUUAUUUAAUAAAUAAAUUCAAAAAUUCGAAGGAAGAGCACCACCGCCACCUUCCUUCCUUCCUUCCAGCUGAUCGAACCGAAGGUCAUCGAUCCACUUCUCUCAUCCUCUCCUCUCCUCUCUUCUCUACUCGGCUCACUGGAUCCAUCACCUGCUACAUAUUCACAUUCAUGAUUUGAAUUGAUUUUUCUUUUCGUUUCCCUUCUUUCGUCUUUAGAUCGAUCGAUGCAUCCAUUGAUCGGCGAGGGUUUGGCCAACAUUUUCUAUGUAUGUAUAUUUUUUUUCGUUUCCGAGUAGUUAAUCAAAUUAAACCAGAGUUUGGGAGGUGGGAUAUUUGCAAACGAAAAAUAUUUUGUGAAUAAAAUUUUUAUAUAUUACAUAUUCUAAUAAAUGACAAUGAUAAAAAAUAAACUAUAAUUAAAAAACCCUAAAAUUAACUCUAAAUUUAAAUUUAAAGUUUGAAAUUUUAAUUUUUGGCCAGUAAGCAUCGGGCGAAACGAAAAGAUUAGUCAAUGAGCGUGGGUAAAUUAUCGAUGUCAUGUCACAGUGAUUAGAAAGAUGCGCUCGAACGCAUGAUUAGAAAAAUGCUAAUGCUGUUUUGAAUGAGACUAGCCAAUCAAGAAACUGUUCUGACUUGUCAGCGAUGAACUCCUUCUGGUGUUCGGUGACCUUGAUCAAUUGAUUCCUGGAAUUGUCGCAUCGUUCCUCAGAAUUUGACCGAGGCAAAGUAAUUAUUAUUAUAUUGAUGAUAGUCUUGGUUUAAUUAGAACAAGUUCAAUAGUAUAACCAACUGUUGGCUCUAACUCGUCUAUAGUCAACUUAAUAGCUAAUUCAUACAAUAGCAUAGACUACACAACUAACAGUAGUCCGUGCUGUCAUACACAACUAAUAUUAACCAACUUAAUAGCCAAUUCAUAUGAUCACAUCUGUCAUACCCACAUGUGUCUUGAAACUGGCUAUAAAUUAGUAGUCCGCUGUAUUUUUCUCUUCUCUCUUAUCUUUUUAAAAUAUGUUUAUAGCCUGCUUUCUAUCUGGAUCUUAGUUCGUAACAGAUUAGGCGAGUAUUGUGCUGAAACUCUGCAUAGGUGUCGCCACUGCAAAAGACGUGCAACCAACAAGACGGACAGAGUUUAUUUUCCAUCUCGUUUUGUUUCAUAUGAAAUUCAGCAACAGAUAUUUGCAGCUAAUCCUGACAGAGACACGAAAAAAAUUCUGAAUCAACCCCACCUUAUCCUUUAUUCCUUGCCUAAAUUUGCGAGAACUUUGCUUAACCCCACAAAAUGUGGCUGUCUUGAUUAUCAUUAAUUACAAAUAACAGAGGCCAUCAGAUCUUCAAUUCCCAUUGACAAGUGUGCUAUGUGUGAGACCUAACAGGAUGAUUAAUCUGAUGAUUAGAUUAGAUGCAUCCACAAGUUGGUCUCAACCUUUGGUGGAAAAAGCUGGUAGCUGGUGGCCCUUGUUUGACAAGAUUAGGCGAGCCGCAUGUCAUCAAGGUUGCAAAGACGUGUAGUUUAAGUCCUGAUCAUGUGAUGGAAAAAAAAGGUUAAAUCUUGAUGAACAACAAAGUGAAAACCAAGAAAAUAAGUAGCUUCAAUAUGUAAAAGGUAGAAAUGACAUGAAUGCAUAGAAUUCAACUUCGUCUAUCUGCCACUGAAUUUCUCUGUCUGCCAUCUAGCCAUUAAAAGAUUGAGCUGUAGAAAGCGCCGAAAUGGGAAAAGAUUGUGCUAGAAUUACCAUCAUAAAUCUUGUUGAAUUCAUUUAAAAUGGAAUUACCGUUAGAAUUCAACAGGUAGUUUAAUGGCAAUUAAAUUUACUACUAUCUUGUUAAAUGGUAAUUAUGCCAUUUUAAACUACUUGGUAAGAUGCACAAACUUCAUAUUUGUUACUAGAUUGUUAGACCUCUUGUAAAUUUAUUUCAAGAAAUGGAAAUUUUGCAAGAAUUAAACAUUAAUUAAACUAGCUUAGGUGGCUUACCUUGCUCGGGGUGGUUGGUUAGCUCCAGAUGGGCAUGUGGAUGUCGCCGGCCAUGUCGACGCCGGCGAGGAGG